AGAGUUUGAUCAUGGCUCAGAUUGAACGCUGGCGGCAGGCCUAACACAUGCAAGUCGAACGGUAACAGGAAACAGCUUGCUGUUUCGCUGACGAGUGGCGGACGGGUGAGUAAUGUCUGGGAAACUGCCCGAUGGAGGGGGAUAACUACUGGAAACGGUAGCUAAUACCGCAUAACGUCGCAAGACCAAAGAGGGGGACCUUCGGGCCUCUUGCCAUCGGAUGUGCCCAGAUGGGAUUAGCUAGUAGGUGGGGUAACGGCUCACCUAGGCGACGAUCCCUAGCUGGUCUGAGAGGAUGACCAGCCACACUGGAACUGAGACACGGUCCAGACUCCUACGGGAGGCAGCAGUGGGGAAUAUUGCACAAUGGGCGCAAGCCUGAUGCAGCCAUGCCGCGUGUAUGAAGAAGGCCUUCGGGUUGUAAAGUACUUUCAGCGGGGAGGAAGGGAGUAAAGUUAAUACCUUUGCUCAUUGACGUUACCCACAGAAGAAGCACCGGCUAACUCCGUGCCAGCAGCCGCGGUAAUACGGAGGGUGCAAGCGUUAAUCGGAAUUACUGGGCGUAAAGCGCACGCAGGCGGUUUGUUAAGUCAGAUGUGAAAUCCCCGGGCUCAACCUGGGAACUGCAUCUGAUACUGGCAAGCUUGAGUCUCGUAGAGGGGGGUAGAAUUCCAGGUGUAGCGGUGAAAUGCGUAGAGAUCUGGAGGAAUACCGGUGGCGAAGGCGGCCCCCUGGACGAAGACUGACGCUCAGGUGCGAAAGCGUGGGGAGCAAACAGGAUUAGAUACCCUGGUAGUCCACGCCGUAAACGAUGUCGACUUGGAGGUUGUGCCCUUGAGGCGUGGCUUCCGGAGCUAACGCGUUAAGUCGACCGCCUGGGGAGUACGGCCGCAAGGUUAAAACUCAAAUGAAUUGACGGGGGCCCGCACAAGCGGUGGAGCAUGUGGUUUAAUUCGAUGCAACGCGAAGAACCUUACCUGGUCUUGACAUCCACGGAAGUUUUCAGAGAUGAGAAUGUGCCUUCGGGAACCGUGAGACAGGUGCUGCAUGGCUGUCGUCAGCUCGUGUUGUGAAAUGUUGGGUUAAGUCCCGCAACGAGCGCAACCCUUAUCCUUUGUUGCCAGCGGUCCGGCCGGGAACUCAAAGGAGACUGCCAGUGAUAAACUGGAGGAAGGUGGGGAUGACGUCAAGUCAUCAUGGCCCUUACGACCAGGGCUACACACGUGCUACAAUGGCGCAUACAAAGAGAAGCGACCUCGCGAGAGCAAGCGGACCUCAUAAAGUGCGUCGUAGUCCGGAUUGGAGUCUGCAACUCGACUCCAUGAAGUCGGAAUCGCUAGUAAUCGUGGAUCAGAAUGCCACGGUGAAUACGUUCCCGGGCCUUGUACACACCGCCCGUCACACCAUGGGAGUGGGUUGCAAAAGAAGUAGGUAGCUUAACCUUCGGGAGGGCGCUUACCACUUUGUGAUUCAUGACUGGGGUGAAGUCGUAACAAGGUAACCGUAGGGGAACCUGCGGUUGGAUCACCU
rnacentral:rRNA from 2 species